rnacentral:rRNA from 1 species
GCCUACGGGGCGCAGCAGUGAGGAAUAUGGGUCAAUGGGUGUGAGCCUGAACCAGCCAAGUCGCGUGAGGGAAGACGGUCCUAUGGAUUGUAAACCUCUUUUGUCGGGGAGCAAAAGACGCCACGCGUGGCGUUCCGAGAGUACCCGAAGAGAAAGCAUCGGCUAAAUCCGUGCCAGAAGCCGCGGUAAAACGGAGGAUGCGAGCGUUAUCCGGAUUUAUUGGGUUUAAAGGGUGCGCAGGCGGAAGCUCAAGUCAGCGGUAAAAUUGAGAGG